rnacentral:rRNA from 1 species
AUUGAACGCUGGCGGUAGGCCUAACACAUGCAAGUCGAACGCGAAAGUCCUUCGGGAUGAGUAGAGUGGCGGACGGGUGAGUAACGCGUAGGAAUCUAUCCUGUAGUGGGGGAUAACGUUUCGAAAGGAACGCUAAUACCGCAUACGCCCCACGGGGGAAAGCGGGGGAUCUUCGGACCUCGUGCUAUAGGAGGAGCCUGCGUCGGAGUUAGCUAGUUGGUGAGGUAAAGGCUCACCAAGGCGACGAUCCGUAGCUGGUCGGAGAGGAUGAUCAGCCACACCGGAACUGAGACACGGUCCGGACUCCUACGGGAGGCAGCAGUGGGGAAUAUUGCGCAAUGGCGAAAGCCUGACGCAGCCAUACCGCGUGUGUGAAGAAGGCCUUCGGGUUGUAAAGCACUUUCAGUGGGGAGGAAAAGCUGGUGGCUAAUAUCCAUCGGCCGUGACGCUACCCACAGAAGAAGCACUGGCUAAUUCCGUGCCAGCAGCCGCCGUAAUAC